rnacentral:ribozyme from 1 species
UGCCCAGCAACUCCUAUUUCUACCUUCUCAUGGUAUUGGCCGCGGGACGAGUAACCUUAGAGAAGAUCGGUGGGAAUUUUGAUCGUAUUCUGACAUGGAAGG